AUCACGUGGUGAGUGACUGCAGGUGUGUAACAGCGGACGGAAGCGAUCACUGAAGUGGUCCAGAAACUCGCCAAGUCGCCAGUGAAGUAAAACAAAUUGUGUUUAGAAGCAGUGAAGCUAGAUGAGCGUGCGUCGCGAAGAUGAGGAUGGAGAAGAACGUUGGUGGAAGUCCCUCUUUCGUCAUGGACAAAGGUCAGCGUUGGCUCAAGAAUCUCCGUGCCAGGGCCACACGAUUCCAUAAAGAAACUGCAUACUCUAUUUUACGAAGCA